rnacentral:rRNA from 1 species
AUUGAACGCUGGCGGCAGGCCUAACACAUGCAAGUCGAGCGGUAGCACAGAGAGCUUGCUCUCGGGUGACGAGCGGCGGACGGGUGAGUAAUGUCUGGGAAACUGCCUGAAGGAGGGGGAUAACUACUGGAAACGGUAGCUAAUACCGCAUAACGUCGCACGACCAAAGAGGGGGACCUUCGGGCCUCUUGCCAUCCGAUGUGCCCAGAUGGGAUUAGCUAGUAGGUGGGGUAACGGCUAACCUAGGCGACGAUCCCUAGCUGGUCUGAGAGGAUGACCAGCCACACUGGAACUGAGACACGGUCCAGACUCCUACGGGAGGCAGCAGUGGGGAAUAUUGCACAAUGGGCGCAAGCCUGAUGCAGCCAUGCCGCGUGUAUGAAGAAGGCCUUCGGGUUGUAAAGUACUUUCAGCGGGGAGGAAGGUGUUGAGGUUAAUAACCUCAGCAAUUGACGUUACCCGCAGAAGAAGCACCGGCUAACUCCGUGCCAGCAGCCGCAGUAA